rnacentral:rRNA from 1 species
AACGAACGCUGGCGGCAUGCCUAACACAUGCCAGUCGAACGAGACCUUCGGGUCUAGUGGCGCACGGGUGCGUAACGCGUGGGAACCUGCCCUUAGGUUCGGAAUAACUCCCCGAAGGGGGUGCUAAUACCGGAUAAUGUCUUCGGACCAAAGAUUUAUCGCCUUUGGAUGGGCCCGCGUUGGAUUAGCUAGUUGGUAGGGUAAAAGCCUACCAAGGCGACGAUCCAUAGCUGGUCUGAGAGGAUGAUCAGCCACACUGGGACUGAGACACGGCCCAGACUCCUACGGGAGGCAGCAGUGGGGAAUAUUGGACAAUGGGCGAAAGCCUGAUCCAGCAAUGCCGCGUGAGUGAUGAAGGCCUUAGGGUUGUAAAGCUCUUUUACCCGGGAUGAUAAUGACAGUACCGGGAGAAUAAGCGCCGGCUAACUCCGUG